rnacentral:rRNA from 1 species
AUGCUCUCUGCCUUCUCCUCGGCUCACUUCUCGCUGCUAACUCUGGACGCUGGCCUCUACACCCAAAAUACCCAAAUCUCGUGUCUCGCCUCCCCCCACCCCCUGACCAUUACCAAUGUUUAUGCUCCUACGGACCACUCACAAAAAUCAGCUUUUCUUUCGGAGCUCGCCAACUGCACCCCUCCUGCUAACACGCCUUGGAUCAUCUUAGGAGACUUUAAUCUUCUACGCCUCCCGUCCGACAAGAACACCGUUGGCUUCCGUCAAUCUGAGGCUGACAUGUUCAACGCCUUCAUCCACGCUCAUGCCCUUAUUGAGCUUCCCCUUCUUGAUCGCAGCUUCACCUGGUCCAGCAAACGUGACAAACCCACACUAGAAAAGAUUGACAGGGUUUUCAUCAACACUGAUUGGGACCUCCUUUUCCCAAGGACACAGGAUUUUGUUCAUCGCUUGGCUCGACUUGGUCUGAAAUUGAAAGAAGUCAUUGUUAGACAAGGCAAAAGAAACAGCGGACUGAAUUAA